GGUAAAUGUUGAGUCUGGAACAAUAUCUCCAUAACCAAUUGUGCAGAGAGUGACAACAGAAAAGUACAAGGCGUCCACUGGUUUUACUGUGAGAUGGCCCUUGAAACUUCCACUUUUCAGGCAGAAUAUUAGAAUUCCAACUAUUCCAUACAAAAUGACCCAGAUGUAAGCUUGCCGGACGAUUAGAGGCAUUGAUUUUCGGGAAGGUCUCGGGUCUGCAGAAGUGGGAAAAGCCUCCUUGACGUCAGUAAACACAGAAGGAGCAGAGUGUGAGCGGUGGGUGAGAUUUCUCUUCCUGUUUAAGUUUGAAAUGAGGUUAGCAAAGGAAGAAUUGGGUGUUGUGAUGAUAGGGAUAACAGCAUCGGUGGUGAUAAUACGGGCUGUCGAUUGUCGCCAAGGUGAACCUAGGUCAAGAAGGCUAGAGGUAAACUCUCUCCUGGGAGAUGGUCUGCUUGACUCCUCACCAGCUGCUGUUCUGGAGAGAAGGGCCUCAUCCAUGGUGAAUCCACAUGAUAUGAAGUUGGCCAUCUAAGAGUCAAAUGUGAACCCACCCCCACACACAUUAUAUCUUCAACACCCAGCAGAUUGCAGAUUUCAUGAUUCGUCUUUUUGGUUUCUUGAGCGAUGAGGAUUCAACAUUACUCUUGUAAAAGGAAACCCCAAGUGGGAACUUGGAAAUUUAGUUGGCUGAAAAAGUCAUGUUCACCCCAUGAAUCAAGGGGUUUGGAUUUGGACCAGGGGUUGGUGGAAGACACUGGGGUUCUUAUGUAUAAUGUUCAACCUCUUAACUCCAAGACUCGAGGACUUGUGAGGCGUCAAAAGUGACAUCUAAGAAUAUACUUUUUAAUGCA